GCCGUAGCACCUCCGUCUUCAGCUAUAGCUUUUGAUUCAACCUUAUGUCGAGCAACUCAUAUGCCAGAUCAAUUUUUAGCUAUAGCAACGCCAUAAAAUUCACAUUUGAAGCACUUCUGUUCUCAUUUUAACCAAUUUAAUUAGUUCGGACUUCACCUAAUAGGAUACAUUAAAGUUUCAACUCAAAACAUCCAUACUCGACACAAAAGAAGCAUUUCAAGAGAACAA
rnacentral:lncRNA from 1 species